UACGGAGGGUGCAAGCGUUGUCCGGAUUCAUUGGGUGUAAAGGGUGCGUAGGCGGGACGGUAAGUCCGGGGUGAAAGCCCGCAGCUUAACUGCGGAACUGCCUUGGAUACUGCCGACCUUGAGUCCCGGAGGGGUGGCUGGAAUUCCUGGUGUAGCGGUGAAAUGCGUAGAUAUCAGGAGGAACACCGGAGGUGUAGACGGGUCACUGGACGGGUACUGACGCUGAGGCACGAAAGCGUGGGGAGCAAACAGG
rnacentral:misc_RNA from 1 species